GGGCACCUACGGGGGCCUUUAACAUCAGGGUCGCGCAAGUGGCCCGCCAAGCAAACGGAAGAAGCUAA
ncrna:Roseobacter sp. CCS2 L2-Alphaproteobacteria ribosomal protein leader